rnacentral:lncRNA from 1 species
UUUUCUUUUUCAGGUUUACUUCGAGCGUUUCCUUUCCCUCCUUUGGGAUGAAUAACGCACGGUGGCGACUCUUCUGUCUUUUUCUUUCGCCGGUUGUUUUUUUUCGCACUGUAUUUUUCAGGUUGCGACAGCUGGCGACUCUGCUGGGGACUGAAAGAAGUUGACCUCUUGCUGGUCCAUCUGCCCUAAGCGAGUCCCUCCUAGCUUUUGUAGUUUGUUUGUUUAUUGGGUGUUC